ACCAGACUCCUACGGGAGGCAGCAGGGGGGGAUAUUGCACAAUGGGGGAAACCCUGAUGCAGCGACGCCGCGUGAGUGAAGAAGUAUUUCGGUAUGUAAAGCUCUAUCAGCAGGGAAGAAGCAAGACGGUACCUGACUAAGAAGCCCCGGCUAACUACGUGCCAGCAGCCGCGGUAAUACGUAGGGGGCAAGCGUUAUCCGGAUUUACUGGGUGUAAAGGGGGCGCAGACGGCAGCGCAAGCCAGGAGUGAAAGCCGGGGGCCCAACCCCGGGACGUCUCUUGGAACUGCGCGGCUGGAGUGCAGGAGGGGCAGGCGGAAUUCCUGGUGUAGCGGUGAAAUGCGUAGAUAUCAGGAGGAACCCCGGUGGCGAAGGCGGCCUGCUGGACUGCGACUGACGUUGAGGC
rnacentral:rRNA from 1 species